rnacentral:tRNA from 1 species
UAGGCAGGAGCCUGUUAGUCGAGGCACGUAGCUGUUAACUAUGGGAUCGUGGGAUCGAAGCCCAUCUGCCUAG